rnacentral:tRNA from 1 species
GUCUCUGUGGUGCUAUCGGUUAGCGCACUCGGCUGUUAACCGAAAGGUUGGUGGUUCAAGCCCACCCAGGGACG